rnacentral:piRNA from 1 species
UACUCCUUUCGUGCAUCCUGGUGAUCAG